UCGUAUCUCUCCCAAAAAAAUCGCAUCGCACGCAACCUCCCGUUCCUCUUUUUCUCUUCCCCGGGCUGUGCGGCUAGGGUUUCCGCCGCCGCCGCCUCGCCCCUAUCGGCCCGUCCCAUCUCCUCCGGCACCGACCACUGGCGAACGCGCCCUCUUGAGUACAGCUUCUCCCCCAAACCUUCAGAUCUUCGUGUUCCCCCAGGCGGUCAUGGUGGUUGCAGAGGAGGGGGGGUUGCAUCGAGGUGCUGACAGAUGCUCGGCACCUUCGUGAUGUGGAGAUGGCGCUGCCGACUUCCCACCAGCUUCCUCUGGCGAGGGAGAUGGCUCGGCCAAGCCAUGGCCCUAGCGCUGCAGAUUUCGGCGGCCACGAGAUUGUACACCACCCAUGGUAGCGGCCAGCUUUGCUUUGUGCUGUGAAUGACAGCUACGGGUUCCAUCAUAUGUUCAGCUAGAAUGGAUUUGUAAUGAAUGGAUGUUGCAGCUUGUACUACGGAUGCUUGGAAUCUUUACAUAAGUUUGAUGAACCUGCCGAUUUGGAUGGUUAUUGGUCUCCUACAUAUGUUACCUGAAGAUGUCUAAAGCUUCCUUAAGAAAUGUGAUUCUGCUCUUAGUCAAUAGCAGGAUGACUAGACACAUACUCAUAUCCGCUCGUUGGUAAGUCCCCAAUCUAUUUGAUCUCGAAAAAUUCUGUCUUUGGUUACCUAGAAGGCGUUCGAUGAAAGGGAGAUAAUCUAUGUAAUUUGCUUCUUGGUAAACACACUCCUUUUAUUGUAAUAGGUGUCUGCAUCCGGACUUUGUUGAAUACGAUGCCAUGUUCCUAGACAGCAAAAGUUCUGAACCAACAACCACUAUACAAGUUGCUUCUUUUGUCCCUCCUCUCUACCCAAGAGCCUGACAGUCUAGACAUCCCCAUCUUCAGCAACAUUGAUGCGUUUGUAAACUUUUCCCUCUAAUUAAUGAGCCAUACUGCCAUAGCACUUAAGGUUGUAAUAUAAAUAAGUAGGUUGAAUCAAACAUCGAUGAAAACACAACAAGGAUCAAGAAAAUAUAACUGAACAAAAGAAACGUUGAAUCAAAUCGGGCAUCAUCAUGUGAGUCAUGGAGCAUGGCAAAAAGUCGAGGCCAACGAAUAUUGAGCAGCAAUUAGGUUACAAUAUGUUCUUGCAGGUCCUAAUUGAUUGCAACUUUCGUUAUCAAAGAAUGUCUUUGAAUACUACAUUUGGUCAUGAGCUUGUUCAUUAGGUAAUGAAGUUUAUUUAGUAGAUUAUGUCGAUAUUUUUUGGAUGAUCGUCAUCGGGACAGAUCUUGUCGUCGCCUCGCCACCCUCGCCAUCAGGAUUGUAUUAAUGACACAAGAUUCUGGCCCUGGUGUCUUCUGUUAGUACAAUAGAGAGUUAUCCAAUUGGUGGAUCCACGACAUGUAUGGGAGCAAGGGAACCGGAGGUGCUAGAUGCAGGUACUAAUUGUAUUUAGAGUUCGGCUGCAACAAUCAAGUCGUUUAGGAUGGUACUAAUGUGUUGAUUAUUUUCGAUGCCAUCAACAUCAGCUACAAUCUUGGACUAGAGGAUACCAUGAAUAGAUCUUAGUCAAAUAAUCUAUGAGUGACUUCUACUGUUAACUUGAUUUUUUGGUUCAUAAAAUAGGAUCAGUCAAGUUAAGCAUCAAUUUGUUUCAGGGUUAGUCUCUAUUCUUAUCCCAUGUUAAGAGAAAAUCUGUACUAUGAAUUAAGUGACAUCAUGAAAUAAUCUGGAUCAAGAUAAAAAAGAAGAAUUACAUGUUUAUUAAAGCAUGGGGGAUCAUAAGUACAAAAUUAGUAAAUGAAUGAUGGCCUGCACAUGUGGGUUAUAUUGUAAUCGAUUCCAGUGUGUGACACAACAACCAAGAGCAGUCUAUUUUAUCAUUCUAAUACAGUACCACUUACACAAGUAUAGUAGCAUGUUCGUAUCAGAACCUAAGAGUGUUAAAAACAUCAGGAGAAGAUGGCAAUUAUGGACAUUAGAGAGGAAUAAAUGUGAUCACAUAUACUAUACAGGGCCUUCUGUACAUGCAUGUUAGCUGCAGAAGCACAUUCUUGCAUGUUGAAAAUUCUCUUUAUUAGAGUACUGGCAUGAAUAUGACAGUGCAGUGCAAGACGACACUGAUCGACUGUGGUGGGCGAGUCAACGGGAGGUGACAAUGAUGACUGAUAUGGUUACCGGCAGAUAAAAGGUAAGUGACACUGUUGUUUGGUCCCUCUCCUCUCCUGAUAUGAUUCAUGCACUAUUUGGUGUUUGCCUUGCUUGCUUGUCGUGGAAAUUUGCUUGUUGGAUAGACAAAAUACUGUGUACAUGUCAUCUUAAUAAUCAUGGGUAUGUAUUUAUAUAAACAAUCAACUGCAAUUGGUUUGGUUCCUUUGAAAAGGACUGAAAAUAUCUUGCUAGAGGUGGACUAUCAAUCUUUACAGUUAGAGCAAUGACAUCAGGGACACACAGGCAGUUGUGAAGCAUCUGGCGGAUCAGCUGGUGAACAUGAGGAGCAAAGACGGCAUAUCCUGCGUCGUCGUAAACAUCCGCUGCUAGCAGAGCUUCAGCCUAUGAAUAGGACGAGCAAAGAUGACAUCUCCGUCAUCGUAAACUUCCAGUGCUAGCCCCUAAAGUGCACAAUUGCUUCUAUGUCUUCCGCUGUUCUUCGUAGGAUAUAGUGUUUAAUUUGGGAAUAAUCCACCACCCAAGGGGAUCAAGGUUUCUAAAAUAUUGUUGUUUGUUCAAAGGUUUUUUUUUUAUAAAUUAUCAAUUGUAAGUUCUAUUGCAAAUUUCUUACUUAUAUGUGCAUGUUUGCCGGCAAUUUGAGAAAAGGGGGCUGGAAGGGCCGCUGGCACUGCACAACUAACAUUCAGGCGUCGUCACAAGGCUGGAGAGGUCCUAUGCAUCGCUGCUGCUAUUCAUGUCACUGGAAAGCUGAAAACUGCCAAGUUUGAUUGUUCUCUCUUAGUGUAUAUAUAGCCACCGUGGGAAGGCUAGCAGGACAAAUAUAUUGCAUCAUGUGAAGAAGCAAACAAAGCAGCAACAAGGUUCUAGAAGCCCGGUGUAGAGGCAGAUGAUGGCGAUGGUCGUGAAGACGAUCAGGCUCAGCCAUCCGCCAUGAACAUAUGCCCAAGAACAAACAAACAAUUAAUCAAGUGAAUGCAUCAAAAUGUGUAGAUACAGGUGACAAGUGCUUGAACUACUAGCUAGCAUUGGGCUGUAUAUAUAGAUAGAAUAUUUCUUGCGCGGUUUUAUUUAUCUUUUGUGUCUGGUCACCCCGUAAUAUUAUGAUUCUGAUGUGAAUCUGUGGUUCAAAUAGAUAGGCGGGGACACCAAAUACUCAUUGCGGCACUACUCGACUGGCUCUGGUUAAUGCAAUAUGCUUUUAUUCAAUA